ACAUUGGAACACUGUUUCUCAUACAAUUACAAAAGUUAAGCAACAGUGAGCCUGGUCAGUACCUAGAUGGGUGACCAUUUGGGAAUACCAGGUGCUGUAAG